rnacentral:rRNA from 1 species
UUUGAUCCUCGGCUCAGGAUGAACGCUGGCGGCGUGCCUAAUACAUGCAAGUCGAACGAAACUUCUUUAUCACCGAGUGCUUGCACUCACCGAUAAAGAGUUGAGUGGCGAACGGGUGAGUAACACGUGGGCAACCUGCCCAAAAGAGGGGGAUAACACUUGGAAACAGGUGCUAAUACCGCAUAACCAUAGUUGACCGCAUGGUAACUAUGUAAAAGGUGGCUAUAGCUACCGCUUUUGGAUGGACCCGCGGCGCAUUAGCUAGUUGGUAAGGUAANGGCUUACCAAGGCAAUGAUGCGUAGCCGAAUUGAGAGGUUGAUCGGCCACAUUGGGACUGAGACACGGCCCAAACUCCUACGGGAGGCAGCAGUAGGGAAUCUUCCACAAUGGGCGAAAGCCUGAUGGAGCAACGCCGCGUGAGUGAAGAAGGUUUUCGGAUCGUAAAACUCUGUUGUUNGAGAAGAACGAUCGUGAGAGUAACUGUUCACGUUUUGACGGUAUCUAACCAGAAAGCCACGGCUAACUACGUGCCAGCCGCCGCGGUA